GACAGGUUUAGUGGCUGAGGCGAUGAGGCGCUGAGGGGAUGAGGCGCUGAGGGGAUGAGGCGCUGAGGGGAUGAGGGGCGGGGCCAAGGGCGGCGGCGCGAGGGAGAGUGGGCGAGCUCCGGUUGGUCGCUGCGAACGCUCGGCGCUGCCGCGCGGUGGCGUCCUGUCUCCAUGGUGACGGGCGCGGCCGCUCCUGCCUGAGCGUCGGUGCUGCUGGUCGGUCGGUCGGUCGGUCUGUCCGUCCUCGGCUGCGGCGGAGCGUCCGUGUGAGACAGCGGGUGUGCGGGGACUGGCGGAGCUGGCGUCAGCUGUGCCAGCUCACUGCAGACGUGCUGCGCAGGAUCUGCUCUUGGCCCUGGUGCAGACGGGUAUGAGCAAGGCCCGGCCCCGCCGCCCUCUCGCAGGCCUCUUGGGGACAUGAAGCCGAGGGGUCGCACCACGGAGUGACGGGAUAACGGCUGCCCCAUGACUUCUCCCAAGUGACAGGACGAGGAGGAACGGCCUCCAGUUGCCCCAGGGGACGUUUAGGUUGGAUAUUAGGAAAUCUUUCUCCCCAGAAAGUUUUGUCAAGCAUUGGAACAGGCUGCCCAGGACAGUGGUGGAGUCACCAUCCCUGCAGGGGUUUAACAGACAUGGAGAUGAGGUUCUUUGGGACAUGGGUUAGUGGUGAACUUGGCACUGUGGGGUUAAUGGUUGGACUCUGUUAUCUUAAAGGUCUUUUCCAAUCAAAAUGAUUCUAUGAUUCUGUGUCACUGGAAGCUUGCUGAACUGAACAAACUGCAACAAGAGCUACGUUAAACAUUUGUUAAAAUGCAUGUGGAAGCACCUGAAUGAGGUGCUGUGCAUGUGGGAGACACUCUGGGGACAUUAGUGUGGUAUGCUGCAGGGGAUCCUUGGCCGUACUGAGCUGAAGGUGUGCUGGUCGGGAAGAUUUGCAAUAAUGUUGAAAGACAUUGCUGAAAAUGACUUACAGACGUGUGUGCUGGCUUAAUACAACAAUGUGCUCUGGGAAAAAAAAACAAAACAAAAAAAAGAUGAUGUGCAAUGGAAUUUUUGUCCCUUCAUAACAGUGAGAGGAAUUCCAACAACUUCUCUGGUUUACAAAUAAGUAAGUUUUGAUUUUUUAAACAAGUCUUUUUAGGGGGUGGAAACUGAGAAGUCUCAAGAUCCACCUUAUGCAGAAGAGUCCAGAGGAAAUAACCAGAGUCUAAUUCUUGGAUGUGGCAUACUGAAAUACAGAAGUCGAUCCCAAGGUGCCACAUCUUGCUUGGAGUCUGUGGGAGAAUACAAAGACCUGACAGUGGAAAACGGCGAAUCGAGUUAUGAAAUAGCAGUGAAAUAUUCCCAGGGUGGAAGAAAGCACUCUGUGCCCCAGCAGCUGGAGUCAGCAGGAGCCAGAGAGGUGGGUGGAAUGCAGGGCUGGCUCUGAGCACCUUGCUGUGCUCAGUCAGAGAUCUGCCUGGAGCUCGUAGAGCUGAGAGUAGUGAAACAAGGCCAUGUAGGUACAUCAUGGGGACUGAAAUCAGGCCUGGCCACUGAAAUGGGAAUGCUUGGCCACCUAUGGAGAACUCCUUUUACUUUGAGGAUGGUGUUUGGGGGGGUUACUUCUUGCUGUGACCAGGAGGUUGAUCUUAUGAGUUGCAGUUCUAGAGAUCUGAGGUCUUCAAAAAAAAAUCUUUCUUCUCUUUAUUUUAAUGACUUGAUGAUGUAGGCUUUUAUGUUUAGGUGUCGUCUUUUUUGUUUUCUUUUAUUUUUUUUUAAGCAGAUAAGGACUCCAGUGUAUCAUGAGCCUACCCUUAAUCUUUUGAAUUUAAGUUGUGACUGGUACAUUACAAAAUGAUUGUACUGUGUGAAAUGCAGGAAAAUUACAGUGGCAAGAUUCACUUUGACUGUAAUGAGCUAGUAUUUAAUCCCCUGAACAUUCUUUUGAAUGUAUCUGUAAGAUAUAUGUAAGUGCACUGUCAGUGAAUUUGUUGAUGACACCAGACUGGGAGGAGUGGCUGAUACACCAGAAGACUGUGCUCCUGUCCAGUGAGACCUGGACAGGCAGGAGAGUUGGGCAGGGAAAAAUUUAAUGAAAUAUAACAAGGGCAAGUGUAGAGUCUUGCAUCUGGGCAGGAACAACCCCAGGUUCCAGUAUAAACUGAGGAAUGGCUUAUUAGAGAGCAGUGUAGGGGAAAGGGACCUGGGGGUCCUGGUGGACAGCAGGAUGACCAUGAGCCAGCACUGUGCCCUUGUGGCCAGGAAGGCCAAUGGUACCUGGGGUGUAUUAGAAGGGGGUUGGUUAGUAGGUCAGAGAGGUUCUCCUUCCCCACUGCUUUGGCCUGGUGAGACCACAUCUGGAAUAUUGUGUCCAGUUCUGGGCUCCUCAGUUCCAGAAGGACAGGGAACUGCUGGAGAGAGUCCAGCGCAGGGCAACAAAGAUGACGAAGGGAGUGGAGCAUCCCCCUUAUGAGGAAAGGCUGGGGGAGCUGGGGCUCUUUAGCUUGGAGAAGAGGAGACUGAGGGGUGACCUUAUUAAUGUUUAUAAAUACGUAACGGGUGAGUGUCACUAGGAUGGAGCCAGGCUCUUCUCGGUGACAAACAAUGAUAGGACAAGGGGUAAUGGGUGAAAACUGGAACAUGAGAGGUUCCACUUAAAUUUGAGAAGAAACUUCUUCUCAGUAAGGGUAUCAGAACACUGGAACAGGCUGCCCAGUGGGGUUGUGGAGUUUCCUUCUCUGGAAACAUUCAAAACCCGCCUGGACACAUUCCUGUGUAACCUCACUGGUCUAGGUGAUCUUUUGAGGUCCCUUCCAAUCCCUAACAUUCUGUGAUUCUGUGAUUUGCCUCCCCCUCUUCCCCAACACAUGCGAUUUUGCUGGUAUGAGAUCUCAGUGCCUGUGCCAAGCAAUCAGAGCAACUUCCCUUCUUUGCUGAUGUUUGUUUGGACUACCGUAUUGUGAAGAAAUCCACCCGCUCCUUCAGUGCUGCCCGAGUGGAAUCUCCAUGGAGACUGACCCAGCUGUCCAUCAUUACCAACAUCAUCCUGAUGAAAGGGCAAGGCAAGGUGAGGAUUUCGGCAUGUGUCUGCUUUCUCACAUGCAGCAAGAGAUGGUGUUUAAGAGUUGUCUCCCACACCCAGGACUUCCAGCAGCUCUCAAGUUAGCCAAUAAUGACAAUAAUGAUAAACAGAACUCAUUUUCAGAGGUAAAUGCCAAAGUUACACCUGCAAAAUAUGGAGGAAGCAAUUUUCGUGUCACACACUUGGUGCAGGGUGGCUUUCAUUCUGAUUUAAUGCACCUGGUCAUUACUAAGAUAUCAAAUAUUAAUAAUAGAUCUAUAAAUAUGUAUAAUUAUGCAAAAUUGGUGCAGCUACAGAAAAGUACCUGUUUGCAUGCGUAUUUAUUGACAAGCAUGUUUGAUCUCUGUGGAACAUGGAUAUGUUAAAAAAUUCACUGCAAAUUAAGCAUUAAACCCAAAGAAAAAUUCCUGGUUGAUUGCUUAUCCCAGAGCACUCAGUUCUCUGGGUCAUAGAGGCCUCUUUUUCUUCCUUCAAUAAUGUGUUUGCAUUUGCGUGAGAGCAGCUGGCUGAAUUCUAAAGGAAAGCAGACAAGCAUUAACCUAGGUGUGUAUCGUUUUCCCUAAUCCAAUCCACACUAGUACGGGAGCUGUCACUUAAAUAUGCUAAAAGUAUGCAUGUCUUCUUCUGAAAUAUUCUUUAAAUAAAUCUCUAUGCAGACCUGAGACUUGAAAAUCAUUUCCACAGAGCAUGCGUGUUGGUGGCUGGGAGCCAAGUGUGUGCCCUUGGUUCUUCAUCUGUAGAUAGAUCUACAAGGGAUGUUUGUCUGCUUGGAGUAGCGGUGCUUCUACAGGAAGAUGAGCUAAUGUGGGAACCACAGUGCUCUGAAGCCGUAUUUCUGAAAACCCACCCCAGGGAGCAGUGGGAAGAACUGUUGAGUCCAUGCAGGGGAAUGCCAGAAGCCUUGUGUUUUCUAUAGUUUGCAUUGCAGUUGAUAAUCCAGAGAGACCUGGACAAGCUGGAGAAGUGGGGCCAUGUGAACCUCAUGAGGUUCAACAAAGCCAAGUGCAAGGUCCUGCACGGGGAUCAGGGCAGCCCCGGUAUCAACACAGGCUUGGGGAUUAAGAGAUUAAGAAAAGCCCUGCCGAGGAGGACUUGGGGGUACUGGUGGAUAAAGGAUUGGACAUGAGCUGGCAAUGUGCACUCACAAGUCAGAAGGCAAAUGGUAUCUUGGGCUGCAUCAAAAGGAGCGUGGUCAGCAGGUCGAGGGAGGUGAUUCUGCCCCUCUGCUCCACUCUGGUGAGACCCCACCUGCAGUCCUGUGUCCAGCUCUGGAGCCCUCAGUACAGGACAGACAUGGACCUGUUGGAGAGGGGCCAGAGGAGCCACAGAAAUGAUCAGAGGACUGGAACAGCUGUUGGGAGGACAGGCUGAGAGAGUUGGGGUUGUUCAGCAUGGAGAAGAGAAGGCUCCAGGGAGACCUUAUUGUGGCCUUUCAGUACUUAAUAGGGAACUUUUAAGAAAGAUGGGGACAGACUUUUUAGCAGGGCCUGUAUUGAUAGGAAAAGGGGUAAUAGUUUUAAACUAAAAGAGGGGAGCUUCGGGCCAGACAUGAGAAAGAAAUUUUUUACAGUGAGGGUUAUAAAAUACUGGCCCAGGUUGCCCAGAGAGGUGGUAGAUGCCCCACCUCUGGAAACAUUCAAGUUCAGGGUGGAUGGGGCUCUGAGUAACCUGAUGCAGUUGAAGAUGUCCCUGUUCAUUGCAGGGUGGUUGGACAAGAUGACCUUUGGCUUCUGGUCACCGAAGCACAACAGUUUUCCACUUCCUUUAUUCCUUUAUUUUGCUGGUCCACUCUUGGAGGCCUCGUUUUCAAAAACCAUUGGAGGAAAUCUUCCACCUUCCUGUGUUCCUGCAUAAAUGCUGUCGGGGUGACCAGAUCCUGGAGGCAGAUUCAGUGAGUCUGCGUCACGCAGCAUUUAGUGAAGCCUAUGGCAUCCUGAGCGAAUGUGGUCCAGGUCCUGUUAGUCUCAUCAUUAGUCGGCAUCCUAACCCAAAGGUUUCUGAGCAGGAGAUGGAUGAAGCAAUCACAUGUACUACCCACCAAGACAGUACGGAUGCCAGCUCCUCUCAUGUCACAGCUACUAGAGGAGCAGGAAUGGCAAAAGCAAAUGGUCUGGCUUCUCCAACAAACCCUGUUGCAAGGACCCACCCUCACCGCAACAAGUGUGAAGCACCCGAAGGGGCCGGGCUGAGCCCGGGUGAAACAGUCGCUUUGUUUUGCCAUGAGCAUGGGUCAUUUGGCCUGGAUAUCCAAAUCCCUGGAUAUCCAAAUGCCCUUAAAGGUUGUUGUCACAGGGCUGCGGCCAGGUGGACCACCAGAAAUGGUAAUUUUCUCAUUUGAGUUGCUUUAUUGUGACUUGCUAUCACUUUGCAGGGAUUAGUAUUAGUAUUAAGCAAGUGAUCUGUUGCGAAUAAGUGCAAAGGAGAUGUUUGUCCCUGCUGGGCAAAACAUCUCAUCCUAUAUUGUUCUGAAGCUGCUGUUAAGUGUUUCUGAUUCAGAAUUGCACUGUUGUCUGAUUAAAACUAAGAAAGUCAAGAGGCAGUUCCACCGAGACGAACCGAUACCGAUUCGUAGUUACCAUUUUGAGGGAAUACUGUUCUGCUGUUGCUUUUCUUUUUACCAGAGGCAAAGACAAAAUAAAUGAAUCUUGGUGCUAAAAA